rnacentral:rRNA from 1 species
UGAGGAAUAUUGGUCAAUGGGCGGAGAGCCUGAACCAGCCAAGUCGCGUGAGGGAAGACGGUCCUAUGGAUUGUAAACCUCUUUUGUUCGGGGAGCAAGGCCACUCACGAGUGAGUGGAAGGAGAGUACCCGAAGAAAAAGCAUCGGCUAACUCCGUGCC